UACGUAGGUGGCAAGCGUUGUCCGGAUUUACUGGGCGUAAAGGGCGUGCAGGCGGUCUGUUAAGUUCAGGGUGAAAGCUCCCGGCUCAAUUGGGAGAGGUCCUUGGAUACUGGCAGACUUGAGGAGGGUAGAGGAGAGUGGAAUUCCCGGUGUAGUGGUGAUAUGCGUAGAUAUCGGGAGGAACACCAGUGGCGAAGGCGGCUCUCUGGGCCCUACCUGACGCUGAGACGCGAAAGCUAGGGGAGCAAACAGG
rnacentral:rRNA from 1 species